rnacentral:SRP_RNA from 1 species
GCUGGGCAUGGUGGCGCGUGCCUGUAAUCCCAGCUACUCGGGAGGCUGAGGCAGGAGAAUUGCUUGAACCCAGGAGGCGGAGGUUGCGGUGAGCCGAGAUCAUGCCAUUGCACUCCAGCCUGGGUAACAAGAGCGAAACUCUGUCUCAAAAAAAAAAAAGAAAAAAGAAAAAAAGAACAGAAAAUUCUAAAAUAUUUUUUUUGGUUUUUUUUUGAGACAGAGUCUCACUCUGUCACCAGGGUGGAGUGCAGUGUUGUGAUCUCGGCUCACUGCAACCUCCACUUCCCGGGUUCAAGCAAUUCUCUUGGCUCAA